AGGUGGCAAGCGUUAUCCGGAAUUAUUGGGCGUAAAGGGAGCGCAGGCGGUUUAUUAAGUCUGAUGUUAAAACACGGAGCUCAACUUCGUGAUGCAUUAGAAACUGGUAGACUAGAGUGCAGGAGAGGUGAGUGGAAUUCCAUGUGUAGCGGUAAAAUGCGUAGAUAUAUGGAGGAACACCAGUGGCGAAGGCGGCUCACUGGCCUGUAACUGACGCUGAGGCUCGAAAGCGUGGGGAGCAA
rnacentral:rRNA from 1 species